rnacentral:lncRNA from 1 species
AAAUGGGUAUAAAGAUAAAUUUAUAUUUUAAAUUGGGUUUGGGAGGAUAGUUUAGGUAGUAAAUUUGGGUUUAAAGAGAUACUAUUUUUUAAUUAAAAAUAAUAUGGGUGUAGAGAAUAAAUUAGGUGUAGAAAUAUAUUAUAUGGGUUCAAAUAAAAUUUUCCUAAUAUUAAUCGUAUAUCUAAAAUCAUGUGGGAUCAACUCUCUACAGAACUUUCCGAACCGAAUAAAAUUAGGCAUCAACUUAAAAUAGUGCGGAAUCAGUUCUGUCCAGAAUUCUCCGAACCAAAUAAUAUUUGUCAUUGACAUAAAAUCGUGUGGGAUCAGCCCUAUCCAGAACUCUCUAAACCUAAUAAUAUUAGUCACCGACGUAAAAUCGUGUGAGGUUAGUUUUGUCUAGAACUCUCUAAACCAAAUAAUAUUAGCUAUUGACCAAAUAAUAUUUGUCGUUGACGUAAAAUCGUGAGGGAUCAGUUCUCUCCAGAACUCUAUGAACCGAUUAAUCGUCGACCUAAAAUCAUGCGAGAUCAGUUCUAUCCAGAACUAUCUGAACCAAAUAAUAUUAGUUGUUGACACAAACUGAAGAACUUGCAAUUUGUCUUCAAGUAGAAAAAGGUAAGCAAAAUCCUCCAUUUCAUUAUUGUCAAUGUCUGUUGCUACCAUUUGUCUUCAAGUAGUACUUAUAUGAAGCUGUUAUGCGUUAUGAGCUCCUAAAGUCAAUCACCAACUAUAGCCUAAUGUAGAAACAAGAGCAUUAAUCUAAUGACCAUCAACUCAUAUUUAUCCAAUCUAGCUUUCGACAUUUAGAGGAAAACUUUUUGGAACAAUAUCUUUGCCGAUGCAAAUGUCCGCCGUCUCUAGCUUUGACAAAAAUGCACCUGCAAAACAAUCAACACCUUUGAUUAAGGACCUAAGCCUCACGAGCCCACGAGGUGGGGGAGAGGGUUAGGCCAAUGGGUCCAAUGCCUAAGUUAGUUUAUCUGAGAAGAGUAAAGUGUCUAGGGCUUCUAGGAGUAUCAAAAGCUUACCAAAAUUUGGUAGAAUAAGGGGUUUAUAUAGGGGAGUGGCUGGCCAUGGUGUUACAGUUUUACCCUACCCAUGGCGACAUCCUAUUGGCCAAGGUUUUAUAAAGAAAUAUUCUCAAGAUAUUAAAUAGGAAAUAAUAUCUUGAGAUAAUGGAGUAAUUAUGACACACCCCGACCUGGAAAGGUUGAAGCAUGCUAGCCGUCACCGUGAGGUGACAUAACCAUAAGGGUAAGUGAUGCAAAAAGUGAAUAAAAUUUAAAACUAAUUAGAACUAAACAGUGAAAGAGUGCGCAAUUCGUGGGUUGAACUCACUACAAUUAUUCAGAGUGUAAUAGACAGUGAGACUACGAAAGAGUAGUCAAGGCAACCAAAGUACACUUAUUACAUAGUAGUGAUAAGUUCGUAUGUCUAAACAGAAGGAAAUGUCAGAACUGCCGUGACUCCUCGAGUGCCACAGAGAGUACAGCUAUCUAGGUCCUAGAGGGGCGAAAAACAAAGUUGAGUGGGUCAGCAAAACAAUGCUUAUAAGAAAACCUUUAUCUUUGAAUAUACUAACCCCUCGCCGUAAAACAAGUAUAGUUUCCUCAAAACAUACUACGUAAGUAUGAAAUCCAAUAUAUCAGCCAUAUAGCCAGAAAUAUGCCAAGUAAAUGAUGUAUCAUAUGCCAUAAUAAUAAUCAUGCGAUAAUCAAUAUAACUAAGUGCUCAUCCAUCUAAGCUGACACACAAGUUCGAACAGAUGGUUUCUGACACGAACAGGACUGGGUGUAAUCAAUAUGCUCUAGUACUACGAUCACGUGAAAACUGGUGCAAAAGCACAUCACAUACAAGUCGGAUCAUCUAAUGCAAUCUACCCGACAAGACUGACACCUAAACUUGGAUCCAAUGUGAGCGAACGGUGCAGAUGUGAACAUACACGUGAAGGACUAGCCCUGGCCCUGGGGCGAGUACUAACACCGGGUGCAGCAAGAUGAGCAUGUACACAACUACAUAUGAAUGCCAUGAUAGUAAUAUCACAACCAUAUAGCAGCAUUUAUCACAAUUUAUAUCACAAUAAUGAUACUAGGCAAGAUAAGCGUAAAAGUGAAAUAAAUACACAUUUAUGGAAACUAUAAAAUAUAUAUAGGUAUAAAACAACUGCCCACUCACAAGUACGUCGCUGGGUCGUAGCCCCCAAGCCUAGCUUGGCCUCGAAAAUCCUCGGAAUAAGUUUCCUCUAUAUGUGAAAUACCUAAAUAACAUUAAUUAAAGCACAUAACGGAAACCUAAAUAAAAUCCCCAUAAUUUGCUCAAACCUAGGGUAUAAAUAUAUGAAAUCGAUCUACUCAAUGACACGAACGCACACGCAUCAACCACACGCCAGCCGAAGGCCAGACGCGCCCCACACGCCACCCAAAGUGGCAGUCCACGCGCGCCCCCGCGAGUACACUGUACUCGCCUUCUUCGCGAAAAUCUGCAAUUUUGCAGAUUUUUGGCCCAACUUCCAGAGCCCAUAACGAGUUCGAUUCUCAACCAAAUUCACUUAUACAAAAGCCAAAUUAAAGCUAGGAAUGUGAUCUACCGAUCCCAAUUCACAGAAAGUUCUAAUAUAGGCCGUGUUGUUCAGAAAUUUGGCCUGAAAGUGGCCAAACGACCAAGUUGAAAUUUUCCAGAAAACUAAAAUUUUCUUCCCAACUUCCAGAGUUGAUUUCUAACUCGUUACUGAACCAAACUCAGUGAUUCAAAAGCCAUUUUGAAGUUAGGAAUGUAGAGAACAAGUUUGUACUAAGAAGAAGUCUAGUUGUGGUCGACGUUGACCAGAAAAAUGGUUUGAAAGUGACUAAAUGGCCACGGUUCUUGUAUGAAAAAUUUCGGGUUCUCCUUCUUCUCGAGUUUCUGGGUAAAACCACACAUUCAAAACACAAACAAAUUAUCAAUAACAACCCAUAUAAGUGAAAUGAAAGUUCUAAGGGUUUCUUAAGGCUUACCUUAGCCAUGCAUGGCUUGAAAAUCGAUAUGUCGAACUCGCCGAGUUGACCUUCCGAGUUGGUGAGUCAAAACUCGUCCACACCAGAUUUCAAGGACAUGGUUGUGAUCGUGGGACUGAGGAUGAGCAUAAUGAUGUAGUUGGUUUGUCACGUUUGGGAGUUUUGGUGUGUUUUGUGGUUGUUGCAGAGAGGAAGAAGAAGAAGAAAUGUGGCGUGGGAGAGGGAGAAGAGAGAGAGAGAUGCUUUUCUGAUUGAGGGGGGGACAAAACAUACAAAAAAAAAUGGGAUAGCUGAGAUUGAAUGAUGAAGGGAAGUGCACGGGUAGGAUUUAAAAGGAAUCCAAGGAUAGCUUUUUAGAUUUCCUACAAUAAAAGGAAAUCAAAAUCUAUCCGAAGUAGAUAUUUUACACUUUAAAAUUUACGCAUACUUGUACUAGCGUGUACAAUUUAAAUGCAAUAGCGAGAAAUAAAAAGGAAAACGAUAAGAAUAAGUCCACGUCACUUGCCAAUAAGGGCAUAAUCGUCAAUACACAUACUCGGGGAGAAAUUACAUAGGAAAAUUAGGGACGGGUCGUCACAAAUUAUCCCUAAUUGAUUUAAAUAAGGAUUACUUAUUACUUACUUGAAUGGAGUCAAUCUUCAAUUGGGAAUGUAUUAAAGAUAGGACUUGGGUAAUUAAUCAUUUUUUAAUGCUUUGACUUUUCCUUGCCAAUGGAAGGUGAGCUAUGGGUAGUCGUAUUUAGCUGUUGGGACCUUCAGGGGUGUGAGCUGCUCAUGAGAGUAUCUGAGGAGCCUGUCCAUUUAAUGAGGCCAAUCUUGUCUUUCUUGAGCAAAAGUCCACAUGUAGCCUUUAGAAUUUUUGGGAUUAUUUUAGGCUCCAGAAAUACCCCCACACCUGCUGGGCUGUAAGUAGAAAAAAGGGCUUCUUCCUUGAUUUGGAGAUAGACUUCUUCUGGGAAAAGGAAACCAAUUGCCCCCAAUACCUAUUUAAUUCUGCUCUAAGCAGGGGAUUAAAUAAAUUUGGAGAACAAUCAUCAUUCUAACAAGGAAGAGAAAAGCCAGAGGAAAUUUGUUUCCCCUCCCCUAGCUUUCUUCUUCUCUUGCCCUUGCAAAGAGUCGUCUCUCGUUGUUAUUCUUCUUCUCCGUGCCACACCACGGUAAGAAAAAGUUGAAUUUUCUUAUUCUUAAUUUUUUGGAACUUCGGGGCUUGAAAAAUUUUCUCGGCGAAGGCUGAGGAGGCAUGAGAAAUGUGGCAGGGGUGCCACGGGGCUGUUGUGCUGCAGUAUGUAGCGUGGGCUACUGGUGGUGCGGCACAAGAAUCCACUUGGCUUAAGCCGAGGUGUUAGAAGCACAAGCAAGGCUCAGCGCGCGGCUGGCGUGGGCCAGGUGAUGGCUCGACACUAGUUGAAGGAGGGGCGCAUAGCUGGGCUCGGGCUCACUAGAGCUUGGAAGAGAGGGAAAGAGGCAUGGGGCGCUCGCCCUCCUCGCUAGUGGACUGGGCCAAGAGGUCCUUGGGUCGCUAGGCGCGAGAGAAAGAGCUAGGGUCCAGGUCGUGAGGCUUGUCGUGCUGCUGGGCUCCUGCGGUUUGGGCCUGUGCUAGAGGAGAGAUAGAGAGUGAGGAUUGGGCCCUCUUGUGGCUUGGCCAUGUGGAUGAGCUGGGUCAUGGGGCUUGGCACUGGGCUCUGCAGUUCUCUCUUUUUUAUUUUUUAUUUUUUAUUUUUAUUUUUUUGUUUCUCUUCUCGCGAACUGCCUUCUAAAUAUUUUUCUUCGUACUUUUUGCAAGGAUUUUGAGAUGUCUUCCUCUGAUUGCAAAAGUGACGAAUACCCUCUAUUUUUAUACCGUCAAGGUGGUUCUUCUGGUAAGGUGGGCUGCUUCAAGGCUGCACAUGUCAAGAUCAAUUUUGAUGGGCGAUUUUGGGAUUUUCUUAAGAUGUAAAAGCAUGCAAUUUCGUCAGGGGUUCGUGUCAAGCGGGGUAAGGAUGAUAGCGGCCAUGAACUGUGUGGCGAGGGUGCCACUGCUAGGAGGAGGGCUAUCAAAUUCCAUCUGUAUUACUUCAUGCUGGGAUUUACUUGAAGGAAAUAUUUGUGAAAACUAGUUCAUUUGAGCAACAUUUAUGCAUGCAAUUAACAAUUAAAAGGCGGAAUCAUGCUUGUAUGCACUCAAAAACAAAACUUUACCCAUAAAAUUCAAGGCCUAGUGAGUGUGGUGAAUCAAGACUCAACUCAAGAACAAAGUGAGUUGAGAAAUAUUAUACCUUUGUUGAUUCCUCUUUGCAUAAGCAAAGGCUAAUCACCCAAGAGAUAGGGUCUUCAUUCCUUACUUCUUAGCUCCAUGGAUUUCUUAGAUAAGGAUGGUAGAAUGGAUUCUCCAAGUUCCCAAAAUAGAGAACCUCUAAGUCUCCACACCAAAAAGUGCAUUGAUGAAGAGAUAAGUGACCUAGAGGAAGUAAGAUUGCUAGCUAAUUUUCUCUAAGGUGGCUGGCCUCUUAGAGAGAAAAAAGAGCUUUGUGUUCUUAUAUUUUCUCCAAAAGAAAACCCCAAGGAUGAAAUGGCUAUAAAGUUGCCUUUAUAUCACCUCACAAUGGAGUGGCAAACUUGCAAUUAAGGCAAGUUCACUACCCAUCUCUAUAUGGCCAGCCAUUGUAGGUUAUUUGGGCUUUGAAGCCCUUUGUGUUUUCAAGUUGUCAUACAACUUGAGUUAUUGGACUUUGACAUUCAAAUCCCAUGGGCCUUGAGGCCCAAAACUAACUAGAGGUCUAUAACGAACUUAUUCAUUUGAUUAAUUAACAUAUAAUUAAUCCUAACCAUAAAUAAUUAAACCAUUUAAUUAUCCUUACUCAUCUCUAUUGUUUCUUCAAUCUCUACCUUACACGAUGUACGAUCCAUUAGGUUCCUUUUAGCGAGGCAGUGGACGAUUAGAACUCUUCAAAUCGAUUAUGAAUUGAAACAUACUUUCAAUUCUCCCUUUAGUUAUUAUACACCUUUAGGGUUUCCACAAACCAUGAGUGACACCUAGCAGUAUAUCAUGGUUACCCAAGCUAAUCAGAAAAGGUGGAGAACCUAUUCAGUUUAGGAUUACAAUGCAAUACGGUCUUUCUCUAAUACAAUACUCUUGACCACAUUGUUUGGUUUGAUAGUUUAUUCAUGUCUACUAUCAAAUGUGAUUCAUUUAUUUAUAUGAUUAUCUUGAAUGUGAUUUGGAACAACUUCCUAAAUCUCAUUCAUACUCUGGCCAAAGAUUCUUAAUCAUAUCACAAAGUAUUCUCCCUCAAACGGUUUGAAGGUUAGAGAUCCCUUGUUGCACAUUCACUUGCCUCCAUGGCUAAGUGGCUUAACCCUAACUAUGCCGUGGACACCCUCUGAUGAAGUGACUUUGACAUACUCAAAGAUUAAUGACCUAACCACAAGACAACUAUGAUGCCUCAGGUCAAAAGAUUACCUUGCAUUAUCUCAACCAUGAGUUCUCAUGUGACAUGAGUAUAAGAACUCCUUGUUGAUCGUGUUCAGUGGACUCAUUCAUGCUUGUCUUGGUGUCAGUCACACCAAUGACUCGAGACCAGUCACUCUCCCUAAGAAAAGACAUAGCAGGUACUGAUCUUAAUGGACUGUCAAUGCCCAAUUAGCAAUCAUACGAUCAAUAACGUUUAUGAUAUGUAUACGAAAGAGAAUGGUAUCAUGAAUCUGACUUAUUUAGAUCACAUUCUUCCAAUUACAUAUUCCUUGGACUUAUCGUUUAAGCAUAUAACAUUUUUAUGAGACGGCUUUAAACAAUCAUUUUUGCCCUUCAUAUUAAACUAGAUUAGUUUAACAUAUGAAAUGUUCGUAAAGUAUCAUCAUAUGAUUGGCUUUAGGGCACAUCUCCAACAUUACUUUUCCCAUGCCGUGUAUUUUUCAAGAAGUGAUCUGCCCCAUGAAAUGCGCGUCAGCUCAGUGCUCCCUGAAUGCAGUUCGUACGAUGGUAGGGUUCUCGAACUAGUCUGACUCCUUUCAUGAGCUACGUGUUUUGACUGUCUUUAUCAGUAGUAAGUGAACUGCUUCAUUCCUGGCCUGCUUGAAUUUUUGUUGAGCUGCUUCAUAACUUUAGUUUAUUGAUAGACCUUCUUACUUUGUGUAGAUUUGGAAUUUAAGAAUUUGGCUCAACUCCAACAACUUUGGCGGAUAUGAAGAAAAUGCACAUCGUUUUGGCCAUUCCUACCGAGUACUGUGAGUAGCGCUGACUGCUCAGUCUUCUUCGUCGGGAGAAAGGUGGCUUGCCUCCGAAGGAAUAGAUAAAGCGGAUAUAAGAUGAGGUACUUGCUCGCUCGAUCACCUCUGUAGAGCCUGUUGCCAAUGAGGGUGGAAAUAAGAGACCUUCAUCACCUACUCGUGAACUUUCAGCUGAGAAGAAGCUAAUGACUUCUU